GAAUAUCAGAGUUUUGCCAGAAACCCUUGAGUCUGGAGUGGUACGGCUGGAGUCCAGAUUGCAGUCUGUGGAGGAGUGGACAGGAGGGGAGUAGAACAGCUGGAAUUUAUAAUCUUCCUUCUGAACUAACAGGGAAGAAGAGAGUGCACCUGAUGUAGUAGCCACUGUAAGAACUGUAUUGGAGAAUGAUCCGAUUGGCCAGUGCAAGAGGGAUUGCAGAGAAGAAGAAACCACAAGCAGAAAAACCAGAUGAGGAAAUUAAGCUAAAUAUUAACUAUCUCAAGAAUAUUCCCAGAAGUGACUGCUAAAUUUAAAUUCCUGCUCACAAUGAAAUACUGUACAG
rnacentral:lncRNA from 1 species